rnacentral:rRNA from 1 species
UACGUAGGGGGCUAGCGUUGUCCGGAAUCAUUGGGCGUAAAGCGCGUGUAGGCGGUCCGGUAAGUCCGCUGUGAAAGUCGGGGGGCUCAACCCGGGAACUGCGUCCGAUACUGGAAGGCUUGAAUCCGGGAGAGGGAUGUGGAAUUCCAGGUGUAGCGGUGAAAUGCGUAGAUAUCUGGAGGAACACCGGUGGCGAAGGCGACAUCCUGGACCGGUAUUGACGCUGAGGCGCGAAAGCCAGGGGAGCAAACGGG